rnacentral:rRNA from 1 species
GACACGGUCCAAACUCCUACGGGAGGCAGCAGUGAGGAAUAUUGGUCAAUGGGCGAGAGCCUGAACCAGCCAAGUAGCGUGCAGGAAGACGGCCCUAUGGGUUGUAAACUGCUUUUAUAAGGGAAUAAAGUGAGUCUCGUGAGACUUUUUGCAUGUACCUUAUGAAUAAGGACCGGCUAAUUCCGUGCCAGCAGCCGCGGUAAUACGGAAGGUCCGGGCGUUAUCCGGAUUUAUUGGGUUUAAAGGGAGCGUAGGCCGGAGAUUAAGCGUGUUGUGAAAUGUAGACGCUCAACGUCUGCACUGCAGCGCGAACUGGUUUCCUUGAGUACGCACAAAGUGGGCGGAAUUCGUGGUGUAGCGGUGAAAUGCUUAGAUAUCACGAAGAACUCCGAUUGCGAAGGCAGCUCACUGGAGCGCAACUGACGCUGAAGCUCGAAAGUGCGGGUAUCGAACAGGAUUAGAUACCCUGGUAGUCCGCACGGUAAACGAUGGAUGCCCGCUGUUGGUCUGAACAGGUCGGCGGCCAAGCGAAAGCAUUAAGCAUCCCACCUGGGGAGUACGCCGGCAACGGUGAAACUCAAAGGAAUUGACGGGGGCCCGCACAAGCGGAGGAACAUGUGGUUUAAUUCGAUGAUACGCGAGGAACCUUACCCGGGCUUGAAUUGCAGAGGAAGGAUUUGGAGACAAUGACGCCCUUCGGGGUCUCUGUGAAGGUGCUGCAUGGUUGUCGUCAGCUCGUGCCGUGAGGUGUCGGCUUAAGUGCCAUAACGAGCGCAACCCCUCUCCUUAGUUGCCAUCAGGUUAAGCUGGGCACUCUGGGGACACUGCCACCGUAAGGUGUGAGGAAGGUGGGGAUGACGUCAAAUCAGCACGGCCCUUACGUCCGGGGCUACACACGUGUUACAAUGGCAGGUACAGAGAGACGGUCCCUUGCAAAACGGAUCAAAUCCUUAAAGCCUGUCUCAGUUCGGACUGGGGUCUGCAACCCGACCCCACGAAGCUGGAUUCGCUAGUAAUCGCGCAUCAGCCAUGGCGCGGUGAAUACGUUCCCGGGCCUUGUACACACCGCCCGUCAAACCAUGAAAGCCGGGGGCGCCUAAAGUCCGUGACCGUAAGGAGCGGCCUAGGGCGAAACUGGUAGUUGGGGCUAAGUCGAAACAAGGUAGCCGUACCGGUUGGUGCGGCUG